UAAAGUCACUACUGUAAGUCGCUCUGGAUAAGAGCGUCUGCUAAAUGACAUACA
rfam:Salmo salar isolate Sally breed double haploid chromosome ssa03, whole genome shotgun sequence.